CCAGCCAUUUCAGGAUGCUAAGACCCUUCACCGAUACCUCCGCUCCACACAUAAAAGAAAGCAAGAGUCUUCUGCUGAAGGUGGGGCGGUCAAAAAACAAAAACCAAAACCUAAGUCCCCCUAGUCUCAAGGAGCUACGCUGCUUGUCGAAUCGGGUGAGGAAUCAGAAGAAACUUAUUCGUCAUUGGUUCUGAAAUGGAAGAGUAAGAUUUUUGUUCGAAAUAACUCCAUUUCAGCUUUGUUUGGUACUAACUUUCAAUUUCAUACGUAGCUUCGACAACUCUCUCUCCCAAAGCUCCAACAAAACAACUAGAUUCUUCCAUGGCUAUAGCAGCCUCGAAAGGGGAUGGGGCGCAAUGGACCUUCGACCCAGCGUUUCAGGCUGACCCCUCCAAUCCACAAGGUGAUGCUGUCGGUGUGGCUGAAUACACUCCUCCUCUAGUGACGCUUCUUCUCAAGAGGAACCUGCUUCAGCCGCUGAUCGCUCACCGACUCUGGGGGCUGCUGAAGGCAAUAUUGACCUUGUCGAAACUGCUCCUCCCCAACCUGGUGGCGUGCAAGGUGAUCUUCUGGCUACCGAAUCUACUCCUUUGACCAUUGCUGACAUUCCUCAUGACGACGAAUCUACACUCAUCUUUCUAGCUACCACUAAGAAGGUUUCUUCGCCUCCGUCGACAGUUGAUAACCAUGCUGAUCAAUCAACAGAGAAAAACUUGGCCUCGACAACUUUCAUUGAAGAUAACGUUCAGCCUUCUCCGAUGGAUAUUGAUAUUGACUCUGCAACUUGGCAUCGACAGCUUUCAUUGAAGAUAACCAUGUCGAGACCAUCUUACCACAUCAUAGGUUCUGGAACUUCUUCACAUGGGUUUAAUGGGCCCUAUGCAAGUUGAAAGUCUUGGUAGAAAGAAAUAUGCUUAUAUAGUUGUAAAUGACUACUCCAGAUACACUUGGGUAACCUUCAUCAGAGAAAAAUCAGAAGUCUUUGAUGUUUUCAAAGACCUAUGCCAAAGACUUCAAAGAGAAAAGGAGAGCAAUGUCAUUAGAAUCAUAAGUGAUCAUGGGAAGGAAUUUGAGAACAAAUUUUCUAAAUUCUGCUCAUAUGAAGGAAUCAACCAUGAGUUCUCUUCUCCCACUACCCCUCAAAAAAAUGGGAUUGUUGAACGUAAGAACAAAACUCUUCAGAAAUCUACUAAAGCUAUGAUUCAUGCAAAGAAAUUACCCUAUCAUUUUUAGGCUGAAGCUAUGAAUAUUGCUUGCUAUAUUCAUAACAGGGUCACACUGAGAAAAGGGACUUCAACUACUUUGUAUGAAGUUUGGAAGUAAGUGCUACAUUCUGGCUGAUCGUAAUCAAAGAAGGAAAUUGGAUCCUAAGAGUGAUGAGGGAAUAUUUAUGGGCUACUCCAUAAACAACAAAGCCUAUAGAGUCUUUAACUCCAGGACUAGAGUAAUGAUGGAAUCCAUAAAUGUUGUCAUUGAUGAUAAAGGGUGGAAUGCUGAAGAUGAUGUCCUAGAGGAUGUUGAAACAUCGAUCAAUGAAACAUUAACAGAAUUUACUGACCGAAGUAUUAACCCUAUCCAGUCUGAUAGAGCUGUUGAUCCUAUCCAAUCUGACAGAAAUUCUGACCCUAUUCAUGUUCAAGAGGAACCAAAGACAGAUCAAGCCAACAAGGGGCCUUCCAUCAGAAUUCAAAAUGAUCAUCCUAAAGAACUUAUUAUAGGAAAUCCUAAUCAAAGAGUCACCAUUUGAUCAAGGGGAAUCAUAUCAAAUUCUUGUCUUGUCUCUAAAAUUGAACCCAAGAAUGUCAAAGAAGCCUUGACUGAUGAGUUUUGGAUCAAUGCCAUGCAAGAAGAGCUAAAACAAUUCAAAAGGAACGAAGUCUAGGAUCUGGUCCCACGACCUGAAGGUACAAAUAUUAUUAGAACUAAAUGGGUGUACAAGAAUAAGUCUGAUGAAAAAAGUGUCAUUAUCAUAAAUAAAGCAAGAUUGGUUCCUCAAGGGUACACUCAAAUUGAAGGAAUUGACUUUGAUAAAACUUUU